AUUGAACGCUGGCGGCAUGCUUUACACAUGCAAGUCGAACGGUAACAGGCCUUCGGGUGCUGACGAGUGGCGCACGGGUGAGUAAUGCAUCGGAACGUACCCAGAGGUGGGGGAUAACGCAGCGAAAGCUGUGCUAAUACCGCAUGUGAUCUGAGGAUGAAAGCGGGGGACCGAGCAGCAAUGUUUGGCCUCGCGCCUUUGGAGCGGCCGAUGUCGGAUUAGCUAGUUGGUGGGGUAAAGGCCUACCAAGGCGACGAUCCGUAGCUGGUCUGGGAGGACGACCAGCCACACUGGGACUGAGACACGGCCCAGACUCCUACGGGAGGCAGCAGUGGGGAAUUUUGGACAAUGGGCGCAAGCCUGAUCCAGCAAUGCCGCGUGCGGGAAGAAGGCCUUCGGGUUGUAAACCGCUUUUGGCAGGAACGAAACGGUGUCCGCUAAUACCGGGCGCUAAUGACGGUACCUGCAGAAUAAGCACCGGCUAACUACGUG
rnacentral:rRNA from 1 species